rnacentral:rRNA from 1 species
CGGCGGGGGAGGGAGGGCUUACACAUGCAAGUCGACGAGAAAUCCUCUGCUUGCAGAGGAGAGUAAAGUGGCGCACGGGUGAGUAACGCGUGGGUAACCUACCCUGGAAUCUGGGAUAACACUGCGAAAGUGGUGCUAAUACCGGGUACGAUCCUUGAGCGGGAGUUUGGGGAUGAGAGCCGGCCUCUUGAAAAAGCUGGUGUUCCGGGAUGGGCUCGCGUCCUAUCAGCUAGUUGGUGGGGUAAUGGCCUACCAAGGCGACGACGGGUAGCUGGUCUGAGAGGAUGAUCAGCCACACUGGCACUGGAACACGGGCCAGACUCCUACGGGAGGCAGCAGUGAGGAAUUUUGCGCAAUGGGGGAAACCCUGACGCAGCAACGCCGCGUGGGUGAAGAAGGCCUUCGGGUCGUAAAGCCCUGUCAGGUGGGAAGAACGGUCCUUAAGCGAACAGUUUGGGGAUUUGACGGUACCACCAGAGGAAGCACCGGCUAACUCCGUGCCAGCAGCCGCGGUAAUACGGAGGGUGCGAGCGUUGUUCGGAAUUAUUGGGCGUAAAGGGCGUGUAGGCGGCUGGGUAAGUCUGAUGUGAAAGCCCGGGGCUCAACCCUGGAAGUGCAUUGGAGACUGCUCGGCUUGAGUACUGGAGAGGAUGGGGGAAUUCCCGGUGUAGAGGUGAAAUUCGUAGAGAUCGCGAGGAAUACCAGUGGCGAAGGCGCCCAUCUGGACGGAUACUGACGCUGAAACGCGAAAGCGUGGGGAGCAAACAGGAUUAGAUACCCUGGUAGUCCACGCUGUAAACGAUGAGCACUAGGUGUAGCGGGUAUUGACCCCUGCUGUGCCGCAGCUAACGCAUUAAGUGCUCCGCCUGGGGAUUACGGUCGCAAGACU